CAAAGUGCAAGGCGCCAUCAGAGCAUCACAAACUUUCAUGAUGACAUCAGCGCUCUAGAGUGUGAAUCCAGAAGCGGGCUCUGAGACCGAGGUGAAGGAGAAAGCCGAGGAGCCGGCCACUCAGCCGGACCAAUCGGAGAAGGCCGCGGACGAGGCCCAGGAAGUAGCCAGCGGCGAGGGGCAGGAGAAGGGGAAGGAGGGGAAGGGAAUAGGUCGGUACCUGCCGACAUGGCUUAAGAAGCAGAAGUCUCAGAGCCAG
ensembl:lncRNA